AAGCCGACUUCUCGGAGGGCCGUAUUUAUUAGAUAACAGACCAAUAUUCCUCGUGUCUAUUGUGGUGAGUCAUAGUAACUUUUCGGAUCGCAUGGGCUUUGUCCCGCGACAAACCAUUCAAGUUUCUGCCCCAUCAGCUUUCGAUGGUAGUGUAUUGGACUACCAUGGCUUUCACGGGUAACGGAGGAUUAGGGUUCGAUUCCGGAGAGGGAGCCUGAGAAACGGCUACCACUUCUAAGGAAGGCAGCAGGCGCGUAAAUUACCCAAUUCUAAUUCAGAGAGGUAGUG
rnacentral:rRNA from 1 species